rnacentral:tRNA from 2 species
GGGCCUGUAGCUCAGUGGUAGAGCGGUCGGCUCAUAACCGAUUGGUCACAGGUUCGAACCCUGUCGGGCCCACCA